AGAAGGGCAUUCGGUGGAGCGCACCUCCGCCAAGGCCCAUCAGUCCCCUUAAAUUCAAUCAAGCUGCUAAACUCACUUAUAGAUAUUAGUUCCAUAAAUGUGCCAGAUCUUUUUUCUUCAAGAUUGCUCCCUUGGAAAAUGGUGAAAGUGUUGAAAAACGUAGAAUCUCAAAAUGUCACAGGAAGAUCCAAAUAUAAUGGCUUCUUCUAUGACUCAAACCAAAUUGUUCUUGUGUUAUUUUCCUUACAAACAAACAGACAGGGGUGAAAACAUGACCUCUGACCUCGGCAGAGGUAACAAUGGCAGACACAUCGAUGGAUUGCUUUCAGAUGACUUUACUCAUCCCUGAUUGGUUGUCCAAACUUUCUGACUAUGCCAAACACAUCUCUGUUUUUGUGUUGACAUUUUGUCAAGAUUUGUGGCUGUUUCAGUUAUGUCCAUUACAGAUUGACCAAACGUCAAACCAGGAUAAGUCUGAAAAGCCUCAAUCUCAGACUGUUUCUGUUGCUUCUCUCAUCUUCUCUCCCCUUGUCUUUUUCUCUCUAUCAACCUCUGUCCUAGAGUUGCUCGCUCUCUCUGACUCCUGACACCAGACAGAUGUUCAGUGGGGAACUCCUCAGGGUGGAAGCUGGUGCUUUUCUCUCCUGACCUAAAAGCAGGUACCUCAAACCUCACCGUUCACUCUUCACUGCCAGGAGGUAGCAUGAGCCGUUACAAGUCUGAAGUAUUUGUGUUCACUGCUGCCAGUGGGACCAGUGGAGUGUACUGGUGUGGGGGCGCCAGGGGCCGCAGCAACGCAGUCAACCUUACACUAAGCUGUGAGUCUUGUGUAACAGAGAAGUUUCAGGACAAACUCAGGAAGAAACCACCGACUUCUGUGUAGCACUGAUGAUUAAAUAGGACUGUAUUUAAUACAAAGGUAACAUAAAAGAAGUAGGAGUUAAAUCUUGCCUUCUAGCUUCUUUAAAAACGGAGCAUUGAUUGACUCUAACAGUUCGUCCGGUUCAGACCGAGUCAUAAAGAUGACUCUUAAGAAUGUGACACGGGAAGAUGAAGGCUUCUACAGGUGUGCGUCAGACAGCUGCAGAGUCCAGAGAGCUGGUUAUCAGUGAGACCGGACAGAGGUUCCUGGAAAUGGAUCAUUGCUUCAUGUGGGGUUCUACUUCUGAUCGUCAUUCCUUUGACUGUUUGGCUCGUUUGUCACUACAGGUACCAGAAGUUCUGCACUUGGAGCUGCUGGCCAGUUUCCAAACAGGAAGUUCCAGCAGGGGUGCUUCCUGCCACCAAGUUGGAUGUGACGGAGGUGCAGUGGGACCUGUCGUGGAUGGAGAUGUCCAACCUGUUGGAAAAGGAUUCUUAUUGUGGCACUUAAAGGGAAACUCUCUUCUGAAGCCCAGAGAAAGUGUUAACUAUUGGGUCAAACCUAUGAGAAAGCUCAGUCAGUGCUGCAAUUUGUAGUAUUUGAUGGUCACAUGUCAAAAUAGUGCUACCUGAUAUAUUUUUGAAUUGAAUUAAAUGAGAUGUUUAGGAUUUAUAAGGAUGACUACAUUUGCUGAUGGUGCAGAUUUGAUGGCUUCCAAUACAAAUGUUAUUGUUUCAGUUGUCACAUUUGUCAAUGUCAAUACUUUUGCACAUUUAAACGUCUCUCCUUUGAGUACAUUUUGAAACUAAGAAUCGUAUUUGUUAUAUCUUAUUAUCUAAUCAUUAAUAUAAUUGACUGUUCUAAAUCAUUUUACAUGUAUCAUUUCUCCUGUGUUUGUUCGAGGUUCCAUGUUGUUUGCUCCCUUUGAAUCAUUAUUUGCUAUUUCUUGUCGUCUGAAGUUA